UUCAUUUUUCUUAGUAGCAGUGUUGGUACGUUUUUGCCCUUGUAUUUCUAUUGCCUUGCCCAGAGGAGAGAGAAACCUCAACAUUUUCCUGAUAAUUUCCUCCCUCUUUCUUCGCCCUUUCUCUUUCUCUAUGAAUGUCGGUGCUCUCACUCUUCAUUUUCUUCGAUCUCUCCUCUUCAUUUUCUUCCGUUUUUGAUCUCCACAUAAUUUUCAGAUUCUAUCUUCUACGAAUUUGAAGAUCAGAAAUUGAAGAGAAGAAUGUGGUAUGGAUUGCGAUUGUUGGAUUUCUCUCUCCUCCUCUAGCUUUCAAUCAACAUUUUUUCGACCGAAUUUGACAAAUUUCUCUCCCGUGUACUCUUCUCAGUUCUCUCUUACUUUUUUGCAUUAGGGUUUUUUGCCCUCCCUUUUGAUUUCAAAUUUGUUGAAUUAGGGUUGAUUUUCUUUCUCUCCCUCCUUUGUUCUUCGUACUACCUGAACAAGAUCUACAGAAACCUGCAAAGGCCAUUUUUCAUGUUCCUGUUGGAAGAGUUACCCUUGGUCGUAUCAUGAAUGUCAUUGGAGAGCCAAUUGAUCAUAGGGGUAAUCUGAGUAAGUAGUUGGCUACUCUUGUGAUUUCAAUUUGUAAUUUAUGAUUUGAAGGUCUCAGAGAGUUGUUGGUGCUAGCACAUUGACAUUUGUGGUGACUAUGGGCAGAGACCGAUCACUAUUUUGCCUAUUCACAGAGUGACACCCUCUUUUGUUGAACAAGCAACUGAACAACAUAUCCUUGUUACAGGACUUAAGGAACAUUUUUCAAUAUAACUCCUAUAUCCUGUUGAAACUGUUGUGACAUUGUGAUGUCUUUGUAUGCAACUAUAAAUUCCAUCUUGUCUGGUUUUCUCCUUUCUAAGGUUGUCGAUCUCUUAGCACCAUACCAAAGGGGAGGAAAGAUUGGGUUUUUUGUUUGUUACUCUGUGCUGAAUAAGUCGAGACAAUCUUCCAUAAGUUUGGUCAUGCCCUUCAAAUAAUGUUCAAAGAAGAUGAGGGCUUCUGGAUGUCUAUAUUUCAGCUUUAUAUGCUCGUUUUUUCUUUCAUCUGUCAGUACAUCGACUUUCUGUAAUAGUGUAAUGUAGCUGUUGAAGAUCCUUCUUCAAAGCCUCUUCUUGUGUGGCUUAGUGGAGGUUCAAUAUCUUUUUAUCCUUCUUUUAAAAUUUGAUUUCAGUUUUUGAUGUAUAGCAGGAAAGGAUAAUGGUGUAGACGAGAUUGACUCGAGGUCUUCAGUACCAACCGCAAGACUUUAACAGAUAGUUGACCUCGGACUUCAAUUAUAUUUUGUGACAGUUAUGUUGUUCAUUCUGAUAUAGACUGGCAAUGGGGGGGAUUUUCGGACUGUUAGUUUCUUUGGGACUGAAAUUCACUUUAAUAAUUUCUUUUGGAUUGCAUUGUACUAUUGAAAUGUAUUUUUUCAAAGGCGUGAGUUGAUGGUUGUUUGUUCUUGCUUAUAUAGUUUGAAAUGGUGGAUUUUGUAUUUUCUUUGGGAACUUUGGUUUUUUUUAUGUAUUUAUUGUGUUUGAUUCAAAUGAUUAGCAUUAACUUUAUUAAUUAGCUAUCUUGGGUUGCAUUUUACUUUGAAAUGGGUUUUUUCAAGUUAGUUGGUGUUUAAAGGUUGGAAAAUUUGAUUUGAAUUGAUGGUUGUGUCGUGUAGGGCCUGGAUGUUCAUCCAUCGCCUAUGGAGAGGCAUAAGAACUUAGACCAUUUCGUAUCGAGAAGAAUGGGAAAACUAUUUAUUUUUAUCCUCACUCUUGGAACAAAGUGAUAUCUGGCAGAAGAUUCUUGGUGUGCUUGGCAUCAGGAGAAGCAGUUUUGGGUUCAGUCAAGAACUUUCCAUUGCUGCUCAUCAAAGCAGAAAGACUGGAGCAACUGCUACUCUUUAUGCUAUGUGUUUUGCUGAGACUGUUUAUGCCAUUUGGCUGCAUAGAAACUUGUUAAUUUUUAGUAAAACUAACAAAACUCCAACUCAACUUGUAAAGGAAAUUUUGUUUAAAGUUUCCUGUAGGUGCUCUGAGGAGCUGAGUAGUAGACUGUUGAUGUAACUAGUGUUCUAUAGCUGAUGCUAUCUGUGGCUUAGGUGUUUUGGAGUUCUGGCUGUAAUUGUCUUCUUGGGUUUUUGCGCCCAAGGUACUUGGUUAUUAAUAACAAUUAUUAAUUGCCAAAAAAAAAAAAAAUCACGUGAUUUACAUGCA